CGGCUGUUCGUGAUGUCACCCGCCCGGGAAGAGCAGAGCAGGAAAGGAGGUGGAGACAGUGCGCUGCUUGAUACUGCAUGUGCAUGAGCUUCACCUUGUCUAGUCUGGCUGAGCUUGAUCGAUUUCUCGAAGAAGAAUGGUUGACAAUUUCAGACUCAGGAUGCGCAAAGCUGACAGCAGUAACUGCAACAAACGAUGAAUCCGAUUGGCUCAGGGGAGCCGAACACAACGACUUGGAAAGCCCAGGAAUGCAGUGGCCUGUGGUGUUGAGGAGAGCUGUCAUAAAUAUGAAGAAGAUAGGGGCUCUGGAAGAUUGGUGUUGCUAUAGAGCUUGUUUUGCACCCACUACGUGUUUUUACUCUUGUGGAAGCAGGAAGGUGCUAUGGAAGUAAUUAUCUGUUAGGAAGAAAUGGAUACAAACUUCGAAGAAGUGGGCAGACCAGUUAGCAAAGCAUGUCCAUUAUGUUCUGACGACAUAGUCGUCCAUACAGUUGUCCUGGGUUUCACUCCUGGUAUUGGGGCCAUUUGCUGCAUGUCUCUCUCUCUCUCUUUUUCUCUCUCCGCCCUGUUUCCUGUCAAUAUUUU